UCUUGUUAAUUUUUAAGCAGUUAUGAGGCAGAUUGGCAAAACCUUAAACUUCUGCUGCGCAAGUUAGUCAAAAGGCUGUUGCUAGGAAACCACAAGUUACUCAAGUAACAAAAGAGUGUGUGAGUUAGUCAAUGUCAUCAACUUUGCUUAUCUGACUGAGAGAAGUUGAGCAGCAAAAGCCUUUCCUCUGUCUACAUCCCCCAGAAUGCUGUGCAGUUCAGUGAAAUGACUGAAUAUUCUAUCAGACGUAUUACCUGCUGACAUUGAUCAUGUGUCCGUAUCAAUUUUCAUUGUUAUUGAUUUAUUGCCCAGCCCUAUCCAGGAGCACAUCUGCUUUGUGUUGGUUAUUAUCCUACUGAAAGAGCCCACAACCAAGCAGAAUAUUACAUAUUUCUUUUUUUUUUUCUACAUUCUCGUCUCAGACAGAUUCAUGGAAAACAGAGAAUUUUUAUACAGGGAACUGAUAAUUUCCAAAAUACCCUUUUUACGAGCGACAUGACAAGUUCAAGUGGGCAUUUUGGUCUACUGGGACACAGCUGCUGGGGAAUUUGCCAUGAACAGUCCUGGCUGCAAGCCUGGCUGGAGCUGGCUCACACAGCUGCAGAAGAAACACUGGCACCUGCACGCCUGUGUGUGCUGUUUCUCUGGAAAACAGACUAGGGAAACAUAUGCCCCUUCUCCCAGCGGCAGGUCCCACAGCUGCAAGGGGAAGGAAGCAGGCAGUGGUGUCCACUGCGUCCGAAGGGCACACAAACUGGGGAAAAACUCUGCGCGUCAACCAACAAAAGCUCUCUGGAGAGGUCUCUGGCCGGCGCCGAGACCUCCCCUCAUUUUGCUCCGGUCAGCAGGACUCCUCCAGCAAUGUGUGGCUGGCUGCGAGUCAGCAAGGCCAAAGCAAUUCCAGCAGCACCUCACUUAAAAUAAACUAAGUGCAAAUGCGAUAACUUGUUAUGUGAAAAGCCCAUUAACCUUGUUCUCAGUGAAUUAGAGUUAG